AUUGAACGCUGGCGGCAGGCCUAACACAUGCAAGUCGAGCGAGCGGCGGACGGGGGAGUAAUGUGUGGGAAACUGCCUGAGGGAGGGGGGUAACUACUGGAAACGGGAGCUAAUACCGCAUACCAUCAGAUGUGCCCAGAUGGGAUUAGCUAGUAGGUGGGGGAACGGCUCACCUCGGCGACGAUCCCUAGCUGGUCUGAGAGGAUGACCAGCCACACUGGAACUGAGACACGGUCCAGACUCCUACGGUAGGCAGCAGUGGGGAAUAUUGCACAAUGGGCGCAAGCCUGAUGCAGCCAUGCCGCGUGUGUGAAGAAGGCCUUCGGGUUUUAAAGCACUUUCAGCGGGGAGGCGUUACUCGCAGAAGAAGCACCGGCUAACUCCGUGCCAGCAGCCGCGGUAAUUC
rnacentral:rRNA from 1 species